GGCGAACGCUGGCGGCGUGCUUAACACAUGCAAGUCGAACGGAAAGGCCCUGCUUGCAGGGUACUCGUGUGGCGAACGGGUGAGUAACACGUGGGUGAUCUGCCCUGCACUUCGGGAUAAGCCUGGGAAACUGGGUCUAAUACCGGAUAGGAGCCAUUUUUAGUGUGAUGGUUGGAAAGUUUUUUCGGUGUAGGAUGAGCUCGCGGCCUAUCAGCUUGUUGGUGGGGUAAUGGCCUACCAAGGCGGCGACGGGUAGCCGGCCUGAGAGGGUGGACGGCCACAUUGGGACUGAGAUACGGCCCAGACUCCUACGGGAGGCAGCAGUGGGGAAUAUUGCACAAUGGGCGCAGGCCUGAUGCAGCGACGCCGCGUGGGGGAUGACGGCCUUCGGGUUGUAAACUCCUUUCGCUAGGGACGAAGCUUUUUGUGACGGUACCUAGAUAAGAAGCACCGGCUAACUACGUG
rnacentral:rRNA from 1 species